rnacentral:rRNA from 1 species
AUGAACGCUGGCGGCGUGUCUUAGGCAUGCAAGUCGAACGAGGCUUUGGUCGCAAGACUAGAGCCAAGUGGCAAACGGGAGCGUAACACCCUGGUAACCUGCCUCGAAGUUCGGAACAACUCCGCGAAAGCGGGGCUAAUACCGGAUGUGGUCAACCGGCAUAAGUCGGUUGCAGAAAGCCGUAAGGCGCUUCGAGAGGGACCUAGGUUCCAUCAGCUUGUUGGUAGGGUAACGGCCUACCAAGGCUACGACGGAUAGGGGGCGUGAGAGCGCGACCCCCCUCACUGGGACUGAGACACUGCCCAGACUCCUACGGGAGGCUGCAGUCAAGAAUAUUCCCCAAUGGCCGAAAGGCUGAGGGAGCGACGCCGCGUGUAGGAAGAAGCCCUUCGGGGUGUAAACUACUUUUCUAUGGGAAGAACAAUGACGGUACUAUAGGAAUAAGGGGCUGCUAACUCUGU